rnacentral:rRNA from 1 species
UACGGGGGGGGCAAGCGUUGUUCGGAAUUACUGGGCGUAAAGGGCGCGUAGGCGGCCUGCUAAGUCGGACGUGAAAUCCCUCGGCUCAACCGGGGAACUGCGUCCGAUACUGGUGGGCUCGAAUCCGGGAGAGGGAUGUGGAAUUCCAGGUGUAGCGGUGAAAUGCGUAGAUAUCUGGAGGAACACCGGUGGCGAAGGCGGCAUCCUGGACCGGUAUUGACGCUGAGGAGCGAAAGCCAGGGGAGCAAACGGG